rnacentral:rRNA from 1 species
CAGCAGCCACGGGAAUACGAAGGGUGCAAGCGUUACUCGGAAUUACUGGGCGUAAAGCGUGUGUAGGUGGUUGUUUAAGUCUGUCGUGAAAGCCCUGGGCUCAACCUGGGAAUUGCGAUGGAUACUGGGCGACUAGAGUGCGGUAGAGGAUAGUGGAAUUUCCGGUGUAGCAGUGAAAUGCGUAGAGAUCGGGAGGAACAUCAGUGGCGAAGGCGGCCAUCUGGGACAACACUGACGCUGAGGCGCGAAAGCGUGGGGAGCAAACAGGAUUAGAUACCCCCGUAGUCCCUGUCUCUUAUAC